rnacentral:rRNA from 1 species
UACAGAGGUCUCGAGCGUUGUUCGGAUUCAUUGGGCGUAAAGCGCACGUAGGCGGUUCGUUAAGUCGGAUGUGAAAGCCCUCGGCUCAACUGAGGAAGUGCACCCGAAACUGGCGAGCUUGAGUACGAAAGAGGAUCGCGGAAUUCCCGGUGUAGAGGUGAAAUUCGUAGAUAUCGGGAGGAACACCGGUGGCGAAGGCGGCUCACUGGCCCGAUACUGACGCUGAGGCACGAAAGCGUGGGGAGCAAACAGG